rnacentral:misc_RNA from 1 species
GCCCCCAAAUCUAAUCAAACUUUAUAUCAGUGAUUGCAAUAAUCUGACACAACCCAUGUCAGAGUGGGGACUCCAUGCGCUCACCUCUCUUAGAGAAUUUGAAAUCUAUGGUCGUUGUACAGAAGUGAUUUCUUUUCCAGAUGAUGAUGGACUGUUGCUUCCUGCUUCUCUAAUCUGUCUUUACAUUGGAAGAUUCAAGAAUUUGAAAUCCAUAUCCAGUGGCCUCCAAAAUCUGU